GACGAACGCUGGCGGCGUGCUUAACACAUGCAAGUCACGGGGGGUCUCGGGGCAACUCGGGGAUAACCGGCGAACGGGUGCGUAACACGUAAGCGACCUGCCGAUUCGCGGGGGAUAGCCGGCCCAACGGCCGGGUAAUACCGCAUACGCUUGCUGGGUUUCAUGGCCGGGCAAGGAAACCGUCCGGGGGAACCGGGGAGGGGCGGAUCGGAGGGGCUUGGCGGCCUAUCAGCUAGUUGGUGAGGUAAC
rnacentral:rRNA from 1 species